CCAAAUAAGUUUUUACGAUUUAUAAACAAUUUAAAGAUAUUUUAAAGUGUUAUGUACUGUUCUAAUUCCAGAGAUGUUUAUUUAUGUAAAUGGUGUGAGGCUUUACCAUGUAUAUAAUAGGCCAAUGGCUAUGCUGUGCACGCGAAACAUGUCCUGCCCCUUUAAAUCACGAAGGGAGUUACCAUGGAAACUGAAGGAGCACGAGGACAGCUAGCUCCGUCUCCCGCGGUUUCUUCGCUGUUUUCAAGAGUGACAAAAACCCUCUAUAAUAGAAGAGAAGCUCAAGAUUUCAACAUUUUCUGAAGGGAGUUGCAGACAGGUGUAGAAAACUGCUUUUCAAAUUUUCCACAUUUAUCACAGUUAUUUUAAGAUGUUGACAUCUAAACAUUUGUCCAUGCUAAUGGCCGAGCAGUAGGGUUGGAACAGACCUG